UAGUGCAAGUUGAAUCGUCGACA
rnacentral:siRNA from 1 species